rnacentral:rRNA from 1 species
UACGUAGGGGGCAAGCGUUGUCCGGAUUUAUUGGGCGUAAAGAGCGUGUAGGCGGCCGUACAGGUCAGCUGUGAAAACUCGAGGCUCAACCUCGAGACGUCGGUUGAAACCGUACGGCUAGAGUCCGGAAGAGGAGAGUGGAAUUCCUGGUGUAGCGGUGAAAUGCGCAGAUAUCAGGAAGAACACCCGUGGCUAAGGCGGCUCUCUAGUACGGUACUGACGCUGAGACGCGAAAGCGUGGGGAGCGAACAGG